AUGCGUGCGUGCGUGCGUGCGUGCGUGUGUGUGUGUGUGUGUGUAUACUCAACUAUAGCACGUGAUUUCCCUUUUUUCUUCUUUUCACCUUUGAAAAUGGAAAUACUGCAUUAUGACUGUUGUCUAUCAUUUGUGGUGGUUUCAUGGCCCUGGAUGGAGGCCCCAACCAAGAAGCAUCAUGAGGGGAAGGCCUCCAGGGGUACCAUUUCUGCAGUUUCAGAUCCCUGGAGUAUGUGCGUGUGUGUGUGUAUGUGUGUAUCUCUCGGGUGCAUUUUGUGUACACUUGUGUCAAUAAGUACCUGGAUGCAGGCAUGCGUGUACUAUUCAAGACUUCCUUGCUAGCAACACGGGUCAGCUUCUGCAACACAUCAUGCGUGAGAGUGCCCAGUGGGUGUGUGGGUGUGCUGGGAGACCAAGGGGGAGGAAAUGCGGUGAGCUCCUAAUUGCACGUCUAAGGAUUAGUUUUCAAACAAAGGAUUUAUUUUAUGAGAAGGGAGGUCAUUUUCAGAAAAACCCGGUGUUUUGAUUGUAUAGGGGAAUUUUUGGUUUUUUUUUUAAGAAUUUUCUUUGAAAAGUUUGAUUUUCCCCUUCAGGGGAUGGGCAUACUUGGGUUCCAGAAAAAGUCAGGAGAAGUAUCUCAGAUUGAGAGGCCAGGUGUCUUCCUUCCAAGCGUCUUGACCGGGCUCUGCCUUGCCAGGAGAAUUGGGUAUUCACGGGGUGGAGGAGGGCAUGUCUGUGACCAGAUCCAAAUUUUAGCUGUUUCCCAGUUACAGGCAAAUGAGGAAAGAAACUCCAAAUGGGGCAAUUUGCUAUCAGUCAUUUAAACUCGUCUUAAGGAACUUUUCUUAAGGAACCAGUACUGCUCACCAACGUAUGAUACAUACCCUCUUUUAAAAUCCCGUGCUUGCUAUAAAUAGAUCAUACGCUGUCUCCAGUCUAAAUCAUAGACCUUGAACACAGCCUGUCGCAUCCCUUUGAAAUGUCCCUGAAAUGUUAGGAGGACUCCUAGGAAAGAAGUAAACCGCUUGGACUCACCUCACUAUUGUCAGAUCAAGAGCUUGGAGUUUUGUCUUGUUAGUGGGAUCAGGAAGGCCGCGCAUGCGUGCACGCACGCACACAGACACGCACCCUGGGUCCGAGACUGCUCCGGGCCAAUAAAAGCCCAGCCGCACGGUCGAGGUGGAAGCUCUGUGCAGAUGGCAAGCCCUGGCUGGUGGGAAAACUGCUCUGGUGGCCUUGAUCCCUCCAGCGUCGGGAGGGGCUUGACCCCAGAUGGAGACAUGCCACUCCAAGCUGUUACUGAAGCCUUUCAUGCUGUCAAGGCUGAGGAAGAAGAGAAGGAAGGAGACUCAACCUGCGAGACCCUUGAGAUCAGACUCUGCUAACCCCAGACCAGAAUAGAGCCCAAACUUCUGAUGGGAUUUAGGGUCAGCAGCCUCACCCACCAGCCCCCAGCCCCCACCCCAGGUCAAAUUCAAAUACAGGUGUGCAGGCAAGG
rnacentral:lncRNA from 1 species